rnacentral:rRNA from 1 species
GGUUAAGUGAAUAAGGGCGCACGGUGGAUGCCUUGGCACUAGGAGCCGAUGAAGGACGGGACUAACACCGAUAUGCUUUGGGGAGCUGUACGUAAGCUAUGAUCCAGAGAUUUCCGAAUGGGGGAACCCAACAUCUUUAAUAGGAUGUUACGAUUGUGUGAAUACAUAGCACAUUCGAGGUAGACGCAGAGAACUGAAACAUCUAAGUACCUGCAGGAAGAGAAAGAAAAUUCGAUUCCCUGAGUAGCGGCGAGCGAAACGGGAAAAGCCCAAACCAGCAAGCUUGCUUGUUGGGGUUGUAGGACUCCAAUAUGGUAGUUCUUUCAGAUAGUCGAAUGACUUGGAAAAGUCAGUCAAAGAGGGUAAAAACCCCGUAGACGAAAUGUGGAAGACACCUAGGAGGAUCCUGAGUACGGCGGAACACGAGAAAUUCCGUCGGAAUCCGGGAGGACCAUCUCCCAAGGCUAAAUACUCCCUAGUGACCGAUAGUGAACCAGUACCGUGAGGGAAAGGUGAAAAGCACCCCGGAAGGGGAGUGAAAUAGAACCUGAAACCGUGUGCCUACAACAAGUCAAAGCCCGUUAAUGGGUGAUGGCGUGCCUUUUGUAGAAUGAACCGGCGAGUUACGAUUGCAUGCGAGGUUAAGUUGAAGAGACGGAGCCGCAGCGAAAGCGAGUCUGAAUAGGGCGUUUGAGUAUGUAGUCGUAGACCCGAAACCAUGUGAUCUACCCAUGUCCAGGUUGAAGGUGCGGUAAAACGCACUGGAGGACCGAACCCACGUACGUUGAAAAGUGCGGGGAUGAGGUGUGGGUAGCGGAGAAAUUCCAAACGAACUUGGAGAUAGCUGGUUCUCUCCGAAAUAGCUUUAGGGCUAGCCUCGGAAUUGAGAAUGAUGGAGGUAGAGCACUGUUUGGACUAGGGGCCCAUCUCGGGUUACCGAAUUCAGAUAAACUCCGAAUGCCAUUCAUUCAUAUCCGGGAGUCAGACUGUGAGUGAUAAGAUCCAUAGUCGAAAGGGAAACAGCCCAGACCACCAGCUAAGGUCCCAAAAUAUAUGUUAAGUGGAAAAGGAUGUGGGGUUGCACAGACAACUAGGAUGUUGGCUUAGAAGCAGCCACCAUUUAAAGAGUGCGUAAUAGCUCACUAGUCGAGUGACCCUGCGCCGAAAAUGUACCGGGGCUAAACAUAUUACCGAAGCUGUGGAGUACACCUUUAGGUGUAUUGGUAGGAGAGCGUUCUAAGGGCGUUGAAGGCAGAUCGUGAGGACUGCUGGAGCGCUUAGAAGUGAGAAUGCCGGUAUGAGUAGCGAAAGACAGGUGAGAAUCCUGUCCACCGAAUGACUAAGGUUUCCUGGGGAAGGCUCGUCCGCCCAGGGUUAGUCGGGACCUAAGCCGAGGCCGACAGGCGUAGGCGAUGGAUAACAGGUUGAUAUUCCUGUACCCGUUGUUUUUGUUUGAGCAAUGGAGGGACGCAGGAGGCUAAGGAAUGCAGACGAUCGGAAAUGUCUGUCCAAGCAGUAAGUCUGAAGAGGAGU